AGCUACUAAACAGAAUAAAAUUUGAACCCCGGCCAUCUGGCUCCCCAGUACACAGUCUUAACCACCAGGGACAGUGUGGGCCCUACCCAAACACCAGCUGCUGUUUGCAGACAAGUGCAGCCUCAGGGGCUGUUUCUGGCUCCCACUGUCUGUGGCCGGACAGGGUUAAGGUCUUGCCUACACCUGCAACCCACGCCCAGGUCCCACUCUGGCCAGGUGCCCAGCACUGCUGUUGCUACCCCUCCCUGGGUGCACUUUGCUCUCCUAAGUGGCCCUGCCCUGCUGUGUCUCUGGCCUAGCUAGAGAAUGGGGUGCCUGCUGAGUGACCAGGCUGGUCCUCCCCACUCCAGGCUACAGCGUCCCCAUUACAGCAGAAGGAUCCUGUUAAAACACAAGUUGGAUCACGACGCUCCUCUUCUCAGAGUAAAAGACAAAUUCUCUCCAGGGCCUUCUUAAUCUGUGUGAUCUCUGUGAUGUCAUCUCUUCCCUCCCCCGAGCUCACUGUUCCAGCCCCACUGGCCUCCAUUCUGCUCCUUCAAUGUGCCAAAUUUCUGCUUCAGGCCUGUACACUUGUUCAACCUGGAUUCUCAUCAUCACAUCUCCAAUUAGAAGCCACCUCUUCCAAGAAGCCCUCCCUGACUGUCUUAGCUGGAAGAGCUCUUCUCCCUCACAUCCCAGAUUUACAGCAGUGAUCCCUGCCUGACAGAUCCUUGUCUCUCCUACCAAAAUGUCAGGACUGUGAGGGUAGGGUCUUUAGUCCUUUCUGUUCACUACUGUGUCCCCAGAAUCUAAAAUGGUGUCCAGCAUGUAGUAGGUACUCAAAAGUUGUUAAAUUAGCCACCUGAUAUUUCUUGGUUAGCCUGUGUCCCAGACAGCAUUCUAGGUACUGAGCUCCAAUUCUCUCAAUUAACUUUGCAAUGACCUCAUGAAAUAGACUCUGGUGCUUGCCCUUUUUACAGAUGAGGAACUGUCGGCACAGAGAGGUGAACACAAUUGUCCCAGGUAACAUAGCAAGUAAGCAGAGGGUCUCAUAUUCGAACCCAAGGCCACCUAAGUUCUUAACCACAUUUAAAGAUGAGCAAACAGCUAAGCUGCACUUUUUUAAAGGCAAGGUAUAAAGUGGUAUGAUCAGAGGCUUAAAAAAAAGGUGGGGAGGAUAUAAAUACAUCUGCACACAAAGUGAUGAUUUAUGCAAAGCCUGGUACUCAGGAGACUAACCAUGGCUGCCCGGCAGGAGGGGCAGGGGGGGCCUGAGGAAGGAGAGAGGAAAUGGCCACAUUUCAUAUGGUCUACCCUUUUGUAUUGCUUAUUUCUUUUCUUUUUUUUUAACCAUGGGCUGGUAUUACCUAUAAAAAACUAAUUCAUUACUCCAAAAACAAACUAGAAACACCAUAAACUAGGCAAAAAUUGAAAUAGAAAAUCCCACAGCCAGUCAUCAGGGACUGGGCUUGAAAUAGGAUGUGUCUAACUCCAGUGGUCUCCCAGUGUCUCACACCGUCCAUUUGAUAUGAAAGAGCCUUACUCCUCAACUGGCCCAGGAUCUAUCCCUCUCUCCACAAGUGCUCACAUUCUGGAAACCUCUAGCAUGUGGUGGAUGACAGAGGGUUCAAGUAAUCCCCUUGCUGUGCGGCUUCAUCCCUCAGAGCCUCAGUUUCCAGCAGUGGAAACGAUUGCACACUGGGUUUGUUGUAAGGCGUCCAAGAGGUAAGAAAAGCUCUCAGAACCUGAAACUUGGCACAGGCUCCAUACAAGGGAGCUUCUCAUCACUGGAGGCAAUCAAGCACAGUCAUUCUGGUUUAUUCAGACUUCCAGAGUAGAGGCUUGCCUUUUCCUCCACCCCUUGUCUGCUCCAAGAUUUACCAAAUAGCUUCCUUAAACCAUAAAACUUGUGAUCCACCCCUCAACCCACACAACCCUUCCAAAUUACAAAUCUUUGAAGCAACCCUGGAUAGGGAACCGUACCUAGGGUCAGUGGGGCUUGUGUGGGGUUACUCUAUAGUUCCUCUGCCCCCAUGGGACCUGUUUCCUGUAAGUGAACCAGAAGGUAAAUUCCCACCUGGGUUUCUUUUUGCUUACCUGCAUUAUCUGAAGUGUUUCUACAAUGAAAGCAUGUUACCUGUUUUUUUUUUUUCAAAGACCAUUAUGGCUUUAUUUUCCUUUUGCUCUAAUAGCAUAAUAAUCCAGAGAUGGCCCUGGGUUCAAUUUACGCUUGCCCACUUCCGAACUGACUUUUAAUAGGCAACGUUCUUUAUUUCUCUGUCUCAGUUUUCCCAUGAGGGAAAUGGUCAGUAGUAUCAAUCUUUUAGAACUGCUUUGAGGAGUAAACUCAAUCAGGCACCUAGUAUAGUGCCUGGCACAAACUAUGCACUUUGAUCAAAUGGGCUCUGUAAUUAAAAAAGAAAGAUAAUAAUUACUACUAUUGGGAAGAAUAAAGAAACCAAUCUAAAUUCUUCCUGAGACCCUUCUGCCCUGAGAUUCUCAGACCUCUGCCCCUCCUUCCUGGCCUUCCCAGAAUCCCAGCUCACAGUCCCGGACACAGCAGACACUCUACAAAUAUUUGUCAAACUGGGAGAAAAAGAACGGUAUCUUGUAAUUUUCCAUCUUAACAUCCUCUCUUCCUACUGCUCCCGAGACUGUCCCCAGCCAAACCAGCCAGAAAUCAGAGGAUGACAGCCCUCUCCUUCCGUCUACACCACUUAGGAAUUUCUGAGGGAUCCCGGGCCAGGCUUUUCUCUUAGACUCAGUUUCCCCAGCUGCCCACAUACAGGGGCAUAGGUCUUUGUUAAUCCUAGCAGUCCUGGGAGAAGGGCACAGCCCAGGGAGUGAGUGGGGGGUGUAGCCAGUGGCAGGGAGGACCUCUCGAGGUGGGAGCCCUCCGGUGGGACAGGCAUCAGUUCGACUUCUGCCCACCCCCCAGGAGGUGGGAGGUUUGGACAUGGCCAGCGGUAGGGGGCCCUGUGGGAGGCCCAGGGCCCCCGGGACUGCGGGAGGGGGAGCAGGAGGCUGGCCCAGACAUUGCUCCUGCCCUUUUACGGUCUCACAGUGAGUGAGGCAGCACUAACUCGGACAUCCGCCAUCCGCCUUCCACCGGGCCUGGGACCGGAAACGCGAGGGGGAGGCGGGGGCGGGGCUGGGGCCACGGGAGAGGAGAGCCCCGGGGGAAGGCGUGAAGGAAGAGGGCCUGGCUCCCGAAAAAUGUCCCCUCUUCAGGGCAUUCCCCUUAAGAGGUAUUACCAUAAGGGGGAAAAGAUACGCAGAAGUCUUGAGGGUGUCUAUGGGUGCCCCCCUGCUCCCAGUUUUCCAACAGUCUCCUUCAGAUCAGAAGGAAGAAAUGCAUGCCGGAGGGCAAUUCUGUACUCGUCAAAAAUGGAAUGCCACCCUGAGAUACUUGUCAGUGUCUGAGAUGACCUUAUUUAUCAGUUCUCUUGUUUGAUGUGUCCACCUACACACUAAGAGUAUAGAUGGCAGAUGGAAUUUCCCCUCUCAAGACUGGACUUUCUGUGCGAGGGAAGUAGGAGAAGGGGAAAUAAGCAUUCUGAGGAUCCUCCAUCGGCUUGUCUUACUUCCGCUGGCCUGCGAAGCUGGAGAAAGG